AACAAUACCUUGCUAGGUAUUUAUUUAUUAAGCACUACCAGGAUUCAGUUUUGCACCUUUUUACUUGAAGCUGCUAAACUGUAUCCACCUUUAAGUGACACUCAGCCACCAUCACCACCUAAGGAAUCCUUUCCUGAUGACGACGACGACGACGACACUGUAGAUGAGCCACAACCUUCUUGUUCAGAAUAUACCUAAACCAUCAGAACGUUUGUGUCCAUCCAAUUAAGGUGGAGUUUGCGGCCAAAAUCCAAUUAAGAGGUGUGACGUUCCCAUACCUGUUUACCAGAAGUGGUCAGUAACUGGUUACCUACACUAACAAUAGCAGCUCUACGGAGAAACUUGAAAUUUGGUCUGCCAUGCGUAGGAAUCCUACAGCUGAAUAAUUGCUUAGAGCCAUUAACAUGUUAACCCCACCAAAAAGGGGAUGGUCCAAGAUCAGAGAGAGUCAGCUCAACUAAUCCUGAACCCGUUUGGGCGGAGACCUGAAAGAUACACCGCCUUAGGGGGUUGAACCAAGACGAUCAUGGGGAUAGCUGAUUGCAGAGCAGCAGAACCGAAGCAGAGAGGACCAACUGCUAUCAUACAAGAAAGAAGAAUACCUUUCCAGAGCAUUAUAGAAAGAAGAAUACCUUUCCAGAGCAUUAUAGGGUCCUAACCAUAUUACUUAGAUUUUUUAAUCUUAAGUUGUAACUUGUGUAAACUGUUAACUAGUAUUUCUUUGCAUUAGUAAAGAAAGAAAACUGUCGUUCGUCUCACUCACACUCCUGAGAGACUUGAUACUACGAAUCCAGACUACCAGUUGAGAAGAAUAUUAAGGUAGAGAAGAAACAUAGAACCAGAACGAAUCAUCUAAGAAAUAGAAGCAGGUAAGAGAACACAAUCACCACAGUUAUUUAAAUAUGAUCCCUUUCAUGCACUGGUAUAAUUCGUAACCUGUGUGAUUUGAUCUGAUCUUUUUUUUUAUUGCAUAGCUCAAAGCACGGUGUGAUAAGUUUAGCAGUGCCAUCAAUGACAGCGCGCUUAACAUGCUCCUCAGGCUGGUCAACGUCACUACCUCUGCAGCAUUACAACAGUAGACCUAAUAAGCUACAGGAAUAACAUUUUCAAAAUAGGAAUAUGAAUUACAACAAGAUUUCUUUAAAUGUUGAACUUUUAGGCUGUGUUCUAUGCCUACAAAAUAAUCUAA